rnacentral:rRNA from 1 species
CAACUUGAGAGUUUGAUCCUGGCUCAGAACGAACGCUGGCGGCAGGCCUAACACAUGCAAGUCGAGCGCACCUUCGGGUGAGCGGCGGACGGGUUAGUAACGCGUGGGAACGUGCCCAGAUCUAAGGAAUAGCCACUGGAAACGGUGAGUAAUACCUUAUACGCCCUU